UACAGAGGUCUCGAGCGUUGUUCGGAUUCACUGGGUUUAAAGGGUGCGUAGGUGGGCAGGUAAGUCAGUGGUGAAAUCCCCGAGCUUAACUUGGGAACUGCCGUUGAUACUAUCUGUCUUGAAUAUCGUGGAGGUUAGCGGAAUAUGUCAUGUAGCGGUGAAAUGCAUAGAGAUGACAUAGAACACCAAUUGCGAAGGCAGCUGGCUACACGGUAAUUGACACUGAGGCACGAAAGCGUGGGGAGCAAACAGG
rnacentral:rRNA from 1 species